GGCAUGGCUAUGUCUCUCCCUCUCCCUGUGGCAUGGCUAUGUCUCUCCCCCUCCCUGUGGCAUAGCUAUGUCUCUCCCCGUCCGUGUGGCAUAGCUAGGUCUCUCUCUCUCCCUGUGUAUAGCUAGGUCUCUCUCUCUCCCCGUGUAUAGCUAUGUCUCUAUCCCUGUGGAAUAGCUAGGUCUCUCUCUCCCUGUGGCAUAGCUAUGUCUCUCUCUCUCCCUGUGGAAUAGCUAGGUCUCUCUCUCUCCCUGUGGCAUAGCUAGAUCUCUCUCCCUGUGGCAUGGCUAUGUCUGUCUCCCUGUGGCAUAGCUAGGUCUCUCUCUCUCCCUGUGUAUAGCUAUGUCUCUCUCCCUGUGGAAUAGCUAGGUCUCUCUCUCUCCCUGUGGCAUAGCUAGGUCUCUCUCCCUGUGGCAUGGCUAUGUCUUUCUCCCUGUAGAAUAGCUAGGUCUCUCUCUCUCCCUGUGGCAUAGCUAUGUCUCUCUCCCUGUGGCAUAGCUAGGUCUCUCUCCCUGUGGC
ensembl:lncRNA